UGCAUGACUUUUUACUGACUCAUUUGUCAAAACACUCUGACAUUAUCUAUGUAUGAUCAUUUUAGAGAUUGAGGAAAAUAAACUCAAGAACUGGUGACUUGCCCAGGUCACACUACUGGUGGGUAGCAAAACAGCAGCUAGAAUCUAUAGCUUCUGGCUUUCCAGCCAGUCCUUGUUCCACUACAUUCAUUACUUCUUUGCUGGACUGAAAAGCUUAGGACUUUUCCUGUAAGUAAUACGGAGCCAUUGAAGAUCUGAAGUUUCAAGGAAGUGGUAGGAUGGAUUCUCUUUUACUAUAAGAUGAGGAUGAGGAAGCGGAGGAUCAGAGCUUACGUGAUUGGCUCAGUAUCACACAGUACCACACAAUAAACGAUGAGGAGAUUCUGGCUCACAGAGGUGAAGUGAUCUGCUCAAGAUGAAAUAGCCAGCUGGUGAAAUUACUGAGACAAGCACUCAGAGGAAGGAAAUAUGGUUAUACUUUCCUUGCUAAGGAAAUCCAACCCUCCACAAGGCAGCUUUCUUCCCAUCCCCUUGACCUUUUAGGAAAAAGCCCUGUGCCCAUCCUGCUGUGAUUCAGGAGUCUCGCAGAAGACAUCAGAAUGCCUUUCUCUGAGUCACAGUCUGUAUCUUCUAGAAAAGGCUGUCCAUCUUCACCCCAAGCCCACUGGCUCCUGAGAUACGACAUCCAGACCCAGUGCAGCUGGACCUGGCCCAG
rnacentral:lncRNA from 1 species